CUUACCGUAAUUUCUCGAAAAUAAUGCGCAAAUAUUUCUAAAAAUAUUUUCAAAAAGUUAAUAGAGCGCAUUAUAUUUAGGUAUGGAUGAAAAAUAAAAAGUAAAAUCACAUUGCAUAGUCAUAUACAGGCACAUAGAGUGGUAAAAAAAUGUAUACACAUAUAUAUUUCGAUAUGAUAUUCAAUGUCUUAUGCUCCACAUUUAUAUACAGUAUAUUAGGGUAAUGUGCACCCAUAACCUGAGCUCUCUGAGCUCCUCGGGGAGCUUGCAUUUUACGAUCAUUAGCGUAGCAUGCUUGUUGCUACUGCACCAAAGAUCAGAAACGACUGCCCGUGAGUUUGUUUUAACUUAAACCAAGACAAAAAAAGUCGACUACAACGGCUAGAUGUGCAGCUGCUUUUAAAAGAAAUGUGUCAUCAGUCGUCCCGAUGACAACGCCAACCCGGAAGUAGUGCCGCAGUCCGAAACAACAAUAGAUCGCUUCAUUGGCUUCAGAUGCUACAGAUUGGAGCCGAAUACCUGCGCAACUGAAACUCUUGGGAUUACGGUGGGAGCAAGAUGGGAUGUUCAUGAUGCAAUGCAAGAGGCACCGGAACUGUACCAAGUCAUCAAUGAGGAGUUCCACUGCUAUACACCGAAGUUGCCUCCAAGGCUAUCCCUCAGCACAGAUGUCAGCAUAGAAUUCCUGUAUGGAAUAUGGCAGCGACUCCGCUCUGACAGAGCGAUGAUAACCUGAAGAAAACCAAAAAUGAAGACAAAGAAUGGAGGCUCAAGUGGACGUUUCUUAUCAAGAGGUCCCAGUGAGGUGGAAUGCCACAGAGGGGGAUAAGAGAGUGCACUGAUGUCACAAGAGAUGGGAAGUGGAAGAGAAAGGCAGACCAACAGUGCCACAGCUUCUCCUUGAAUCAGCAAGUGUAGCCGCAGUAUGGUUAACAUCGGGCACUGUCUAUUUCCAGAAGACUAUGAUUUGUGGGUAUCUAAACCUUGAGCAGAAUCAUCUGCAACGGGGAGAAGUGCCUUAAAAGGAAAUGGUAUGAGAACAGACAGGACAAACACCAAAUUGAUGGACCAAGAUGAUGUUGUGCCUGUAAGUCUAAUAUCUAUUUUGGUGAAGUAUUGCCUCUGACAAAAAAGAUCACAGACUGACAAACCUCAAGACAGAUGCGAGAGAUGAGAGACAGGCAGAGCGAGGCAUAGAGUAAAACAACAGAAGACAAUAAAAAGAAAUGAGAAAGAGGAAAAAAAUGGCAAAAAAAAAAACUUUCCUAAGACUGAAAAGAGUGCAAGUAAUGAACUAUGUAAAAGCAUUUCUUCACAUAAGCCUUUUUCUCCACGUCAGUGGCAAAAUCUAUCACCAAUCUGACCGCAUUAAUCACUACCCAAAAGCGUUAUUCCUAUUGGCAGUCUAUAUUGGAUUGGUAAACACAGCAGUCUCCAUAAUUCACCACACGACCAAUUCCAGGCAGUUAAAUGGCAGUGUAGGAAUAAGGCUCAUUCACGCAUGCUUCACACAAUCAUGGAACUAUUAGGAAUUUGUCUUCCUUCAUGCGUUCACUUUCCAUGCUGCUUAUCCACAACAGGGUCGUGGGUGUGCUGGAGUCUAUCUAAGCUGUGUUCGGGCAAGAGGAAGGGUACACCCUGACCAGGCCGCCAACCAAUCAUAAGGCACAGAGAAAAAUUUUUACUCAUAUUCACUCCUACUGGUAAUUUGGGAGUGCCAUGCAUGUUUUGGGGAUGUGGAAUGAAACCACAGUACCUGGAGAGGGCAUGCAAACUCUACAUAGACCAGGGUGGGAUUUGAACGUGGGUCUUCAGAAC